UACGGAGGGUGCAAGCGUUAUCCGGAUUUACUGGGUUUAAAGGGUGUGUAGGCGGACUUUUAAGUCCGUGGUGAAAUCUCCGGGCUCAACCCGGAAACUGCCAUGGAUACUAUUGGUCUUGAAUGUUGUUGAGGUGGGCGGAACGGGUCAUGUAGCGGUGAAAUGCAUAGAUAUGACACAGAACACCGAUUGCGAAGGCAGCUCACUAAGCCAUAACUGACGCUGAUGCACGAAAGCGUGGGGAGCAAACAGG
rnacentral:rRNA from 1 species